GCCGCCUUAGCUCAGUAGGUAGAGCGCUUCCAUGGUAAGGAAGAGGUCGACGGUUCGAUUCCGUCAGGUGGCU
rnacentral:tRNA from 1 species